AACGAACGCUGGCUGCAUGCCUAACACAUGCAAGUCGAACGAUACCUUCGGGUCUCUUGUCGCACGGGUUGGUAACGCGUGGGAACCUGCCCCUAGGUUCGGCAUAACGCCCGGAAGGGGUUUCUAAUAACGGACAAACUCGUCGGACAAAAGAUUUAUCGCCGUUGGAUGGGCCGGCGUUAGCUUAGCUAGUUGGAAGGGUAAAAGCCUACCAAGGCGACGAUACAUAGCUUGUCUGAGAGGAUGAUCAGACACGGUGGGAGUGAUACACGGCCCAGACUCCUGCGGGAGGCAGGAGUGGGGUAUAAUGGAGAAUGGGCGCAUGCCUGAGCAAGCUAGGGUGCGUGAAUGAUGAAGGCCUUGGUGGUGUAGAGCUCUCGUACACGGGACGAUCAUGACAGGACCGGGAGAAGAAGCCCCGGCUAACUCCGUG
rnacentral:rRNA from 1 species